UUUAUACCCGAUUACCCGUGAACUUCAACCCGACCUCCGGACUUGAAUCUCUCCUCUCUCCUUUCUCCUCUCUCUCUCUCUCUCUCUGUUUCAGUCCGCGCGUGGUGGUAGCGUGAAAACUGACUUGCGCAGAUGCAAGCACUUCCCUUUUCAUUUACGUGACAUUGAUUUCUCGCCUUUCUGCUUGGACUCACGACCUGUUUGGUUCCUGGGAAAAUUGAGUAAAAACAGAAAGAAAAGCUCAAGUCUUGCAAUUUCUCAUAACUGAGUGGAGAUGUUUUAGUUGCUGCUGCUGCUGAGCUCCCAAAAACAAAUGGGUAAUUCAAUGAAAUGAGCUUUUGUGUUGUGUAAGCUUUGUUUGAUUGGGAGAGAGAUAUUGAACUGCCCUCAUGUGAGCAGGACCAGUUAGACAGUAGGUCGGAUAAAGAUGUUAACAUUGUAGAUGUCACUUAUGAGAUAAAUGUCGAGGCAGAGCCAAGUUCGCCGAUAGCGAGUGAUCGUGUAAAGGAAGUUGAUGGAUUGAAUGCAGAACAAAACGUUGGGUCAGAUAAACAUGUUGACAUUGUAGAUAUCACUGGUGAGGUAAAUGUUGAGGAGGAGCGUGUUAGUUCUCUGACAAUGAGUGAUCGUGUUAAGGAAGUUGAUUUGAAUGCAGAUCAAAGUGUAGGAUCGGAUGAAGAUGUUGAAAUUGUAGAUGUUGCGGAUGAGGUAAAUGUCGAGGAGGAGUGAGUUACAUCUCCGGCAACGGGUGAGCUUGUAAAGGAAGUUGAUGGAUUGAGUGCAGAAGUAAGUGUUAUGUCAGAUAAAGAUGUCAACGUUGUAGAUGUCCCAUAUGAGAUAAAUGUUGAGGUGAAUGUUAGUUCUCAGACAACGGGUGGUCAUUUUAAGGAAGUUGAUGGGUUGAAUGCAGAACAAAGUGUUGUGUCAGAUAGAGAUGUUGACAUUGUAGAUGUCAAUGAUGAGAUAAAUGUUGACAAGGAGCAUUUUAGUUCUCUGACAAGUGAUCGUUUUAAGGAAGUUGAUGGAUUGAAUGCAGACAAAAGUGUUGAGUCAGAUAAAGAUGUUGACAUUGUAGAUAUCACAGGUGCCAGCAGAUGGUUUGUCUCGUGAUCCUUUUUGUUCGGAAACUCUCCCUCAUUGAUUCUUUGUUUUCGACUGUAAUAUAUUACAAUUCACUUCACUAUGUUUUGUAAAUGUAGGAACUGAUGAAGUCCAGAGCACAUAAGAUUGAUAAUUGUCAUGUUCCUCAGCAAGAAUCUGAACGGUUAUAUCAGGGACAGUUGAACUCAAUUUCUCCAAUCCGUGAGGGUUAUGAUGGCAACCAACGGGCCACCCAUGGACAGGUUCAUCCGUUACCAACACGUAUUCGUCACUUAGGGACCCAACAGAGCAUGCAAGGAAUGAUGCAGCUACAACCUAGUUCCAUAGCGCUGAACAUACAUGGCUGUUUUGAGAUUAGGGGCAAUCCGCAAGAUAUGGAACAGUCUGUAGGCUUCUCGGUCAAGCAUCGAAGUGAUAAGCGCCUACCAAAAUAGCUGAGAGACGAUGGCCAUCCAUUUAAAUGAAGACACUGUCGUCCAGUUGUAAAUUAAGCCUCGUGUUUGUAAACGAGGAUUGAAAAAGAUGAAACUCAUAUAUCCAAGUUUUUUCGGUAUAUAGAUGUUUUCGUAUGUUCUUUCAUUGAGCAAUUGUUCAAAAAGAUGUUGGAACAAUUAAAAGAAAGAGAGAUACCUGAGAGGACAGUGCUUGGGCUUGGAAUUGAGAAGAUGGGUGGUGCUUGAAGAGUAGAAGUAACCAAAUUCACUUCUUUGAAAGUUGAGAUUAAUGAGAGUUGGGGAAGAAGAUGCAACAGAGAAGAACCAACCAUGGCCGUCAGGCAAAUAGUGAGGCGCAGUUCUUGAGUUGGAGCAGUGGGAUUCGGCUGGGGAUAUUAUUACUUGGGAUUAAUAGUCGUGGUGACAGGGUAGUUGGAAGAUAGCUCAUGUGGUGAAAAAACUAGGAUUUAAGCUAUUGGGGUAAAGUUUGUUAAGAUUUAUACCCAGGAUUGAAAAUUUCGUCAAAUUUCUGUUAAUUAUUAGCACGUGAGCCAUACAUAUUAAACUAAAAUGGAACUCUCCAUACACAUAUUAGGCUAAAACGGACAUCUUCGUUAAUUGUUAACAGGUGGGGCUGACUCACGUGCUAAUAAUUAACAGAAAGUUGACAGAAUUUUCAAUUUUGAGCAUAAAUUUUAACAGAUUUUACCACAGAGGCUUAAAUCUUAAUUUUUUUUUACCAUAUAAACUAUCUUCCAACUACCCUAUCAUUACAAAGACGAUUAAUCCAAUUAAGCCUAUUUUUAUACAUGCACAACACUGGAAUGUUGGAAGCAUGACAUAAUUUACUAGCGGAGGUGUUAAGAUUUAGUAAAAAAAAAGAACUUGUGGGUUCUUUGGGUGGUUGCUUUUGUGUCACACUCCUUUGCUGCCCACUAAAAUCAGGGAAGCACUGUUAUCCAGAGCCUAACCAAACAAUGAGUCAAUAAAAACUAUCUCAUUACCGUAAUUUUUACACAAGAUCGAAUGAGAUUAAAAUAAAAGAGGUCAUAUCUCAUGUUUA